rnacentral:sRNA from 1 species
ACAUUCACUACACCUUUUCCAUUCGCUAAUAAGGCCCUGCCAGGCUGGGAGGGAAUUGUCCUUGCCUGCUUCUGGAGAGAGAAGAUAUUGACACCAUCUACGGACACCAUGGAACUGCUUCAAGUGACCAUUCUUUUUCUUCUGCCCAGUAUUUGCAGCAGUAACAGCACAGGUGUUUUACAGGAAGCUAAUAAUUCACUUGUUGUUACUACAACAAAACCAUCUAUAACAACACCAAACACAGAAUCAUUACAGAAAAAUGUUGUCACACCAACAACUGGAACAACUCCUAAAGGAACAAUCACCAAUGAAUUACUUAAGAUGUCUCUGAUGUCAACAGCUACUUUUUUAACAAGUAAAGAUGAAGGUUAUCUUUUAAUUUUGUUGAUAGUAUCUUUUGAAGCCUGAAGAUUCAGAAAGCUGCAGUGGACCCGACCACCAAACAGUGACCAUGACCUUUAUUUGGUGCAAGUUUGGCUUUGGGAAGUGCUUUGGAGCUUUUUCUCACUCCAACCACUGAGCUAGUUGUUGCCAGUUGUCACUUUUUGUCGCACAUCACAAUCAGAUCAAGAAAUGGUUUGUGGUGUAGAAU